rnacentral:rRNA from 1 species
AGAUGUUGGCGAAAUGGUUUCAAUCGACCCGUCUUGUAACACGGACCCAGGAGUCUGACAUAUGUGCGAG